CAAUUAGUCCACGCUCAACUUUGACUUAAAAUUGGUCGACUUCUUCUCAAAAUAAGACAAUGUCAAUCUCAAUAAUUUUGAAUUAGUUUAGAAAUUUUAGGAAAUUUUAUUAAAAAAAUGUUCAAUGUUCACACCGGAGAUGCGAAUUUCGUUCAGUUUUGUAUGUCUAUUUACCCCACAGAUUUCGUGUUCGUCUGAUCUCAAAAUUUUGAUUUGUUGUGCUAAAGUUGGUUAACGUUUUUACGUUAUUUUAUUUUUCGUAGUUUUUGUUAAAACUUAUUUUUAAUUAUUUGAAAAGUCUCGUAAUUUUAUACCAAUUAGUUGUUAGAAUCUUUUAUAACAAACGUGCCAAAUGAAGUGAAAUUAAUCAGCCAGUAUUAUUACUGAAAUUUUGUGGUGGAGUAAUUUUUUAUGGGAUUUUUACCACUUGUUGAACUAAAAGACCAUCUGCUAAGCAAAUUCGGCUUGGAUUUUUAGGAGUCUGCAUGAAAUAGUGAUUGGAGUAAUUUUUUAUGGGAUUUUUUUCCACUUGUUGAAUUAAAAGACCAUCUGCUUGGAUUUUUGGAGUGAAAGUCUGCAUGAAAAAGUUUCACAUUUCUAGUUUCACCAACCACUCACUUUCACCGGAAAUAAAAGACGUUGACGACUUCAAGCAAGCAAAAUGACGACACACAAUGAUAACCCUCUUUUGGAACUCUUCUCUAAAUAUUUCGUACUGCUAACUAUUUUUCAUACGGCCUCCUGCCAAACUCCGGAGCAAAAUCGGAGUCACUCCUUCGACUUUGGAGAUUUUCUCGCUAUUGUUAUCAUAAUGGUUUUAAUGUUCGGUGGGGUUUGUGCUUGUCUUGGAAAAUUUGCAAGGGUUCGUUCUGGACAGAUUUGAUAAGAUAAAUUAAUUACUUGGUGAAAAACGAGUCUCUAAAAAAACCUAAGAUCUGCUGACGCGACUGAUUUCUAUUUUAUUGUUUGCACAGUUAAUUUUACAAUAUUUUACAAUUAAUGAAUUCACAUUAUAUACCAACCACAUACCAUAUUUUCUUGACAAUCUUAUACAUAUUUCUAACAAUGUAGUGAUAAGUUAUCACUGAUAAAGGCUAUUAAUACCAAAAAUAUUUAAUAAAAAACUUUUAAAAAAUCA